GCGACCGACCGAGAUUCCUGUACCGCAUUGCCCUCCAAAGUAGGGGGCGUGGGUUCGAAUCCCGCCUGGUUGCACCA
rnacentral:tRNA from 1 species